UACGGGAGGCAGCAGUGGGGAAUAUUGCACAAUGGGCGCAAGCCUGAUGCAGCCAUGCCGCGUGUAUGAAGAAGGCCUUCGGGUUGUAAAGUACUUUCAGUCGUGAGGAAGGUGUUAAGGUUAAUAACCUUAGCAAUUGACGUUAGCGACAGAAGAAGCACCGGCUAACUCCGUGCCAGCAGCCGCGGUAAUACGGAGGGUGCGAGCGUUAAUCGGAAUUACUGGGCGUAAAGGGCACGCAGGCGGUUAAUUAAGUUGGAUGUGAAAUCCCCGGGCUUAACCUGGGAAUGGCAUUCAAGACUGGUUAGCUAGAGUCUUGUAGAGGGGGUAGAAUUCCAUGUGUAGCGGUGAAAUGCGUAGAGAUGUGGAGGAAUACCGGUGGCGAAGGCGGCCCCUGGGACAAAGGACUGACGCUCAUGUGCGAAAGCGUGGGGAGCGAAAC
rnacentral:rRNA from 1 species